GACAUAGGUCGCAAACGUUAUCCGGAAUUAUUGGGCGUAAAGGGUGCGUAGAUGGUUCAAUAAGUUACUGGUGGGAAAUCGAGGCUCAACCUCGUGGAAGUCAGUAAUACUGUUGAACUUGAGUGCAGGAGAGGUUAACGGAACUUUAUGUGGAGCGGUAAAAUGCGUAGAUAUAUGAAAGAACAUCAAUAUGGCGAAGGCAGUUAACUAUUCUGUUACUGACGUUGAGGCAUGAAAGCGUGGGGAGCAAAACGG
rnacentral:rRNA from 1 species